rnacentral:lncRNA from 1 species
CAUUAUCUUGUCUUGCGGUUGUUACACCCACCCAUCUUACCAUUGAUCUGCAGUCCCAAUGACCAAGAGAUUCCAUCAAUAUAUAUACAAUUUAAAAAGCUACACAAACUCUGCAUCAAAUACUAAACUGUAGACGAUUACCAUUGGGGGGGUAACUGUAACAGCUUGCACAACGCACAAAGGCGUGUCCAACAAACACACAAAAGCAUGGUGCUCUUCUUCCACAUCCAUCAGCUCUCACUCUCAAGCUCCUCCUGACCAUCUCCAAUCUCGCCGGCAAACUCACAAGAUCCUUCCUCAUCACAUGAUUGCACGGAAACAAACAAAUAUGCACAUCAUCAUCACAUGAGAUUGCAAACAAGCAAAUUGAAAAAAAAAAAAAAAACAUUGAAAACAAGAGGGGAAAACUGUAUAUUUGCCAAGGAUUGAUAGGAAUAACAAAGCGAUCUCAUAAGUGUAAAAGUCAAAUGGAACCUAACCUCUCUAACGAUCAUUCAAAUAGACAGGAUGCUAGUUCCUAAUUGUUUCCACAUUAUGAAUAUACACAUAAGCUUCUUCCAUUUUCAAUCUAAGAAAUUAUAAAAUAUUGCCAAGAACUGAUAGGAAUAACAAAAUGAUCUCAUAAGUGUUAAGUCAAUUGGAACCUAACCUCUCUAACGAUCAAUUAAAUAACAGGACGCUAGUUUCUAAUUGUUUCCACAUUAUGAGUAUACCACAUAAGCUUCUUCCAUUUUCAAUCUAAGCAAAUAUAGAAUACUGCCAAGAACUGAUAGGAAUAACAAAAUGAUCUCAUAAGUGUUAAGUCAAAUGGAACAUAACCUCUCUAACGAUCAUUCAAAU